rnacentral:tRNA from 1 species
GCGCCCGUAGCUCAGCUGGAUAGAGCAUCAGCUUGCGGAGCUGAGGGUCGUACGUUCGAAUCGUGCCGGGCGCACCA